AGAACGAACGCUGGCGGCAGGCCUCAAACAUGCAAGUCUAGGGGGCGUAGCAAUACGUCACCGGCGGACGGGUGCGUAACACGUGGGAAUGUACUUACUGGUUCGGAACAACUCAGGGAAACUUGAGCUAAUACCGAAUGUGCCCGAAAGGGGAAAGAUUUAUCGCCAGUAAAUCAGCCCGCGUCCGAUUAGCUAGUUGGUGGGGUAAAGGCCCACCAAGGCGACGAUCGGUAGCUGUUCUGAGAGGAAGAUCAGCCACACUGGGACUGAGACACGGCCCAGACUCCUACGGGAGGCAGCAGUUGGGAAUCUUGGACAAUGGGGGAAACCCUGAUCCAGCCAUGCCGCGUGAGUGAUGAAGGCCUUGGGUUGUAAAACUCUUUCGACGGGACGAUAAUGACGGUACCCGUAGAAGAAACUCCGGCUAACUUCGUGCCAGCAGCCGC
rnacentral:rRNA from 1 species